UACAGAGGGGGCAAGCGUUGUUCGGAAUUACUGGGCGUAAAGGGCGCGUAGGCGGCCUGUUAAGUCGAACGUGAAAUCCCCGGGCUCAACCCGGGAACUGCGUCCGAUACUGGCAGGCUUGAAUCCGGGAGAGGGAUGUGGAAUUCCAGGUGUAGCGGUGAAAUGCGUAGAUAUCAGGAGGAACACCGGUGGCGAAGGCGGGUCUCUGGGCCGUAACUGACGCUGAGGAGCGAAAGCAUGGGGAGCGAACAGG
rnacentral:rRNA from 1 species